GAUGAACGCUGGCGGCGUGCUUAACACAUGCAAGUCGAACGAUGAAAGCGGGAGCUUGCUCCUGCUGGAUUAGUGGCGAACGGGUGAGUAACACGUGAGCAAUCUGCCCCGCACUCUGGGAUAAGCGUUGGACACGACGUCUAAUACCGGAUACGACGCGCGACUGCAUCUUCUGCGCGUGGAAAGGACGUCGGUUCUGGAUGAGCACGCGGCCGAUCAGCUAGCUGGUGAGGUAACGGCCCACGAAGGCGACGAGGGGUAGCCGCACUGAGAGGGUGACCGACCACAGUGGCACUGAGACACGGCCCAGACUCCUACGGGAGUCAGCAGUGGGGAAUAUUGCACAAUGGGCGCAAGCCUGAUGCAGGAACGCCGCGUGAUGGACGACGGCCUUCGGGUUGUAAACCUCUUGUAGUAGUGAAGAAGCGAAAGUGACGGUAUCUGCAGAAAAAGCACCGGCUAACUACGUGCCAGCCGCCGCUGUAACAC
rnacentral:rRNA from 1 species